rnacentral:rRNA from 1 species
UACAGAGGGUGCAAGCGUUGUUCGGAAUUAUUGGGCGUAAAGCGCGUGUAGGCGGCUUGUUAAGUCGGGUGUGAAAGCCCUCAGCUCAACUGAGGAAGUGCGCCCGAAACUGGCGAGCUUGAGUGCCGGAGAGGAUGGCGGAAUGCCCCAAGUAGAGGUGAAAUUCGUAGAUAUGGGGAGGAACACCGGUGGCGAAGGCGGCCACCUGGACGGUAACUGACGCUGAGACGCGAAAGCGUGGGGAGCAAACAGG